GAUCAUGGCUCAGGACGAACGCUGGCGGCGUGCUUCAUACAUGCAAGUCGAACGUGAAGCUGACUUCGGUCAGUGGAAAGUGGCGGACGGGUGAGUAACACGUAGGAAACCUGCCUUUAGUGCGGGGGACAACAGAGGGAAACUUCUGCUAAUACCCCCAUAUGAGCGUAGCUGAAAUGCUAUUCUUGAAAAACUCCGGUGCCUAAAGAUGGGCCUGCGUCUGAUUAGCUUGUUGGCGGUGUAAUGGACCACCAAGGCGACGAUCAGUAGCUGGUUUGAGAGGAUGAUCAGCCACAAUGGGACUGAGACACGGCCCAUACUCCUACGGGAGGCAGCAGUAGGGAAUUUUGCGCAAUGGGACGAAAGCCUGACGCAGCAACGCCGCGUGAACGUAGAACGCCCGUUCGGGGUAGUAAAGUUCUGUCAGGAGGGGACGUAAUUUUGACGGUACCCUCAGAGGAAGCACCGGCUAACUCCGUGCCAGCCGCGGC
rnacentral:rRNA from 1 species